rfam:Nicotiana attenuata strain TT chromosome 9, whole genome shotgun sequence.
UGAGAUGAUUAUCGCACUGUGCCUGAGCAGUUUAAUAAACGGUAGUUUUUUAUGGACAAUGCAGCCUUGAAAGCUAUGUCUAAUUA